UUCCUUACAACUUCCACUCCAAGCUUUGGCCGACCACUCCACUUGUUCUCUCAAUUUUUUUUCACAUCAAUCCUUAUCUAAACUCUCAUCAUCUCAUCUCCUUCCUUCUAUAUUUCUAGAUCUAAGUUACUUGAUCUGGAUUUGAAGCUGAGGAAAAUCUAUUCAAGUUAGAUCAUCAAAAGGUAAAAAGCUAAACUUUCCUAUGACAAAGUUUGAGUUUUGGUUGGUUUCAUUCCUUAGAUAAGCUUAUAAGUUUGUAUAAUCUGACUUGUGGAAUUGUGGGGAGUGUUAAUAUGUAGACAAAAGGCUGAGCAAAGGAGUUAAACGGCUAGAGGUCAUCUAAAGUUCAAUCCAAGGUCAUCAAGAGGGUUUAUGUUUUGCUGAUUCUGCUCAAGGUAUUGAGAAAUCUCCAGGAUGCUUAGGUGUUCUUUAAUUGUUGGAUUAGGGCUCGGAUUUAUCCAGAACCAUAAGUUCGUAUGUUAUAUGUUGUGUGGACAAUGACUUGGUUAUUGGUUCCUGUUGUUUUAUAUCAUUUUGUAUGUCAGAUUGAUUUAAUAAGUGUUAUCGCAUACCUAGUUUUUCAUGUUGUAGGUAAGGGCAAAGAAAAGCUGGAAUAGUGAGCUCCGGAGUCUGCUCAUGAAGAUGUACAUGUGUUCCGACCUUUGUGGAUUAUGCAUCUUUUGAAAUGUCUAUUUUAAUUAUGUUCAAACCAUUUUGGGUUUAUCACGAUGCUUAUAAAAUUUUUUGAAAAUAUUUUUAGUGUGUGCACACUUACGUUAAUAGUUUUUUUAUAUGGAUUUUUUAGACAUUUUAAAUGUUAUAAAUGACUUUAAUUCCACAAAAUCAAUGUUAGUAUUUUCAAGUCAUUACAUCAUGUGUUGAGUACAUCAUGUGAGUCACAAAUAAUACUAUUGUUUCUCAAUGUGUCCACACACGUCUUGAGGUAUAGGGAACGACUCAGAAGAUCGUAGUUUGAGUUAUUGAUGGAAAAACUUGGAUUGGAUGUUCCUUUAUAAAUACUAAAAGAUAGCAAAGACACUUGAUAGA